rnacentral:rRNA from 1 species
UACAGAGGUGGCAAGCGUUGUUCGGAAUUACUGGGCGUAAAGGGCGCGUAGGCGGCUCGAUAAGUCCCGCGUGAAAUCCCCCGGCUCAACUGGGGAACUGCGCGGGAAACUGCCGAGCUUGAGUUCGGGAGAGGGAAGCGGAAUUCCGGGUGUAGCGGUGAAAUGCGUAGAUAUCCGGAGGAACACCGGUGGCGAAGGCGGCUUCCUGGACCGACACUGACGCUGAGGCGCGAAAGCGUGGGGAGCAAACAGG